rnacentral:lncRNA from 1 species
GAGAAUGUUUGCUAUCUUGGUGGAGCAGCCGCAGCCAAGCAAGUAACUUGUAAAAUGAGGAAUGCCAUCACCCCUCGAGUGUCCAUCCCACAUAACUUGGGGUUAGAGCACAAGCGUUCCCAGGAACUACUCACCUUACCAUCUUGGCCGUUUCAUUUGUCUUCCACCAGUUCUGGAAAGAGAAGGCCUAGAAGUUCAGAAAAAAAGGAAAAGUGCUUUUGGAGAAAAUCACCUGUCUCCUCAGAACUGGUCUUACAAGUCUGUGAAGUAACACUAUGUGCCAGCCUAAUCACUCAUAUAUGACCUCAAGAGAACACCAAAUAAGCAUAUUUCCAGCAGGAAAUGACCAGUGCUUUGGUUAAGAAUGCACAUUAUACUGCAGUUCUUUGGGGAAUGAAGCCACCCUUGACUGAGGUAAUCAUCAGUUCAAAGGCAACUCCUUGUUUUAUCUUUGCACUAAUUGCUUAGAGAAAUAACCAGACAAUAUAAUUUAUGACAACAAAUCUGCAUUUAACUGAGUUAACGAAUUUGUAAACAAAAAGAUUCCUAUCUCAGGUAGGUGCUUUUGGCAAGAUAUUUAAUUUUGCCCAGUUUCCUCAUCUGAA